GUGGGGAAUAUUGGACAAUGGGGGGAACCCUGAUCCAGCCAUGCCGCGUGUGUGAAGAAGGCCUUUUGGUUGUAAAGCACUUUAAGUGAGGAGGAGGCUACCGAGAUUAAUACUCUUGGAUAGUGGACGUUACUCGCAGAAUAAGCACCGGCUAACUCUGUGCCAGCAGCCGCGGUAAUACAGAGGGUGCGAGCGUUAAUCGGAUUUACUGGGCGUAAAGCGUGCGUAGGCGGCUUUUUAAGUCGGAUGUGAAAUCCCCGAGCUUAACUUGGGAAUUGCAGUCGAUACUGGGAAGCUAGAGUAUGGGAGAGGAUGGUAGAAUUCCAGGUGUAGCGGUGAAAUGCGUAGAGAUCUGGAGGAAUACCGAUGGCGAAGGCAGCCAUCUGGCCUAAUCCUGACGCUGAGGUACGAUAGCAUGGGGAGCAAACAGGAUUAGAAACCCCUGUAGUCC
rnacentral:rRNA from 1 species